rnacentral:tRNA from 1 species
GCCCCUGUGGCCUAAUGGAUAAGGCACUGGCCUCCUAAGCCAGGGAUUGUGGGUUCGAGUUCCACCGGGGGUA